GACGAACGCUGGCGGCGUGCCUAAUACAUGCAAGUCGAGCGAACAGAGAAGGAGCUUGCUCCUUCGACGUUAGCGGCGGACGGGUGAGUAACACGUGGGCAACCUACCUUAUAGUUUGGGAUAACUCCGGGAAACCGGGGCUAAUACCGAAUAAUCUGUUUCACCUCAUGGUGAAACACUGAAAGACGGUUUCGGCUGUCGCUAUAGGAUGGGCCCGCGGCGCAUUAGCUAGUUGGUGAGGUAACGGCUCACCAAGGCGACGAGGAGUAGCCGACCUGAGGGGGUGAUCGGCCACACUGGGACUGGGACACGGCCCAGAAUCCUACGGGAGGAAGCAGUAGGGAAUCUUCCACAAUGGGCGAAAGCCUGAGGGAGCAACGCCGCGUGAGUGAAGAAGGACUUCGGUUCGUAAAAGUCUGUUGUAAGGGAAGAACAAGUACAGUAGUAACUGGCUGUACCUUGACGGUACCUUAUUAGAAAGCCACGGCUAACUACCUGCCAGCAGCCGCCGUAAAAC
rnacentral:rRNA from 1 species